UUGACGCUUGACUUGACUAGAAUUGAGUCUAGACCAUGUGUACUUUUUUUUGAAAUCACCUGUCGAAUCAACAUGUUGUGCACAAUCGUUCCGUCGAAAUAAGUGUUUCUAGAAAAAAAAAGGAUAUUGAUUCUCAAAGAUCACACAUUUAGGAAAAUCUCUCAAGUGGAAUUGUAAUAAUAGUAUUGAAAGGUUAAAGAUUCUAGCUACAAUAAUAUCAAAGUGCACCUAGAAGGACUAAACUUUCCGAUGACCUUAUCUUCAGCUUACUUGUAGUGUACAUGACAAACUAUUGAUUACCGGUAGUACACGACAUUCUGACUUCAUUUCAUUUCUUGGGAAACUNNN
rnacentral:lncRNA from 1 species